rnacentral:lncRNA from 1 species
GCUGCACCCCCCGCCCCCGCAGUCCUCUCGCUUCGGUGGUGCGGUGCUCGGGAGGCAGGCCACCCUCUGGGGCUCUUUCCGGGCCGACGAAAUGGGAUUGGGGGUUGGAUGCUUGCCUACGACCAGGACCCACCACAAUCCUACCUUCUCCGCCCCCCAUUCCCGACCAUUCCCCUCCAAUUCCUAGCGAAUCCAAUCUCCUUCCAGGUUUCUCACCCUCCUCCCUUUGAUUUUCACCCGCUUCUCAACCUUUGGCACCGGCUCUACCACCGUCCCCAUUCCCACUUUCCCCAGUCUUUCAGCAGAUCCUCUUCCAUUCUUUCCUGUCUAUAUUCACAAGUGUCUCUCACCUUUUCUGAGGCGGGAUAAACGACCUUGAGGAAGGCGCGGAUGCGAACUUGGGCCUUAGAGGUGGACCUCAAAACUAGGAAGAAAAGGGGACAGAGUAAGAGGCAGCUUGGAAAAAAACCACCCUGCCCCAAAUCUAGGUUCUUAAGGGAGGAGAAAGGGGGAUAAAAUAUGGUGCAGGGUGAGAAGCUUGGUUAGUCUUGGGGCAGGAGAACCAUCUGGGGCUUUCAGGAAGGGAGGUGGACCACUCAGGAGGUGGGGCUGCCUCUGCUGAGCAGGAGGAGAAAGGUGCAGGGGGGUGUGGGGCAGCUUCUUUCUGUUUAUCAACAGCUACCAGCUUGGGAAGGAAUGGGGGAUAGUCUUUUUUCCAGGAGGGAGUGAGUGUUCUGUGGCUCUGCCAUGUCACUUCCCUUCCCUUCUGCUUUAGUGUUUUGCUUUCCUGAGCAUGAGAAAUGCAAACUAAGCCUUGCAGUAUGUAUGCUUAAGUCCUGGAAUGACGAGUGGGCUCACCAAUAAGAAAGUAUAGACUUGGUGGCUUGAGAGUGAGUAGAAAAACAAAAGAAGGUGGUUUUCUGCAGAUACCAUGGGGAAACUAGAAGGACAGACCCCUGGCUGGAGACUGGGCUUAGAAGGGUUUGACGUUAAGCAUACCUCCCAGCAGUUGGUCCUUGUCUCCUCCUCCACUCUGACUUCAAAUGGAAGGACAAGGAUUCCAUUUCCAGCACUUGAAAGCUUCAAAGGCAGCUCUGCAUGUACUGAGUCCUGCCGUAACACUGCCUUCAUUGAUCUGCCUUUAGUAAGGAUGACUUAAUCAGACCAGCACAUGCAACUCGUUUGAAUUUGAAGCCUUGUCAAUAUUAACAGAAUAUCUUUGCAUUUGAACCAGAAAUGUCUCUGGCUGGCAUCUUCUGUGAUGGGAAAGGUUGGUUCUUGGAG